rnacentral:lncRNA from 1 species
UAGAAUCAGGGUUGCAGGCUAGGGGCUCUUAGAGUCCUUCGUUCGCCCCACCCGGGGUUGGGUGUGGGAUAGUAGGGUUACCCGUAGAUGACUAGUAGGUCCCCUCUUGGUUGGUAAUAUGAUAGUUGUCGCUUGUUAUUGUCGCAUGCGACAGUUAUUAUGUUUCUUAUGUUUACAUAAUCAUUUACGUUAUUUCUGCAGGAUUACUUAUGCUGUGUUUUGUUAUUUUGUUUGGUCUUGCCUUGGUUACUAAUUUUGUCUUUGUUUUCCAAUGCAGCUUUUCAUN